rnacentral:rRNA from 1 species
GAUGAACGCUGGCGGCGUGCCUAAUACAUGCAAGUCGAGCGAAUGGAUUAAGAGCUUGCUCUUAUGAAGUUAGCGGCGGACGGGUGAGUAACACGUGGGUAACCUGCCCAUAAGACUGGGAUAACUCCGGGAAACCGGGGCUAAUACCGGAUAACAUUUUGAACCGCAUGGUUCGAAAUUGAAAGGCGGCUUCGGCUGUCACUUAUGGAUGUACCCGGGUCGCAUUAGCUAGUUGGUGAGGUAACGGCUCACCAAGGCAACGAUGCGUAGCCGACCUGAGAGGGUGAUCGGCCACACUGGGACUGGGACACGGCCCAGACUCCUACGGGAGGCAGCAGUAGGGAAUCUUCCGCAAUGGACGAAAGUCUGACGGAGCAACGCCGCGUGAGUGAUGAAGGCUUUCGGGUCGUAAAACUCUGUUGUUAGGGAAGAACAAGUGCUAGUUGAAUAAGCUGGCACCUUGACGGUACCUAACCAGAAAGCCACGGCUAACUACGUGCCAGCCGCCGCGGUAA